AACUUCAGGCGCCACAUCAGGCAUAAGACCCCGCCAAGAUCCGGUCCUGCUCCGGAUUUUCUGUUAAAAAAUUUUUUUCUAAUCAGCACCGUACAGUUGCCGGAACACUCCCUUGAUGCUGAAAGUUUUCUGUACCACGUAUUAGUGCCAUAUCAUUGCCGGAGCAUGUCCUUAAAAAAUGUAACAUAACCUGUGUAACAUAGCAUAGUACUGUGAGUAAGUGCAUCGAUAGCAUCAGCUAAAUAAAUAUUGUUAAUAUUAAAAGUAUAUUUGAUAAUAGAGGAAAUACGGACAUUCAUUAUGUAUAGAGUUGCACAGAGCAGGAAACUAAGAAAUUGUAACUAUCAACUAAACUGUUAUUAUAUUUAACUACAUAUUUAUAAUUUUUUACAGAAAGCUCACCUUAUAUGCACUGUUAAUGCAGAUAAUAAGGAAUUUCUGAAUGAAUUAACAAAAUUAUUGUUUGUCCAGGGAAAUACUUACGUCUCACACAGCACAAAGAUUAAGUAGUACAAAGAAACCUAUUUUUAAGUCAACUAAUUUUUAUAUAUGUUUGAAAGAUUCACUUAUGCAUGUGUAUUCGGGAAAACAAGUUAUAGAAGAUGAGGUGUUAUGUAAAAUAAUUGGGGCUAUCAUUAAUAAUGCCUACGAUUGGGAAGGUCAUAGGCAUAAAAGGCAAAGACUAAACAAUUAAGUUUUUUUUAAAAGUUUUGUAUUUCUGUAACAAAGUUUUGUAUAAGUUGUCCUUAUUUCAAUCGAAAAUUUGUAUUUUACAUAAUAUAAGAAAAAUAAAUAAAUAAAAUGUUUAAUGCAA